rnacentral:rRNA from 1 species
ACCUUUUGUAUAAUGGGUCAGCGACUUAUAUUCUGUAGCAAGGUUAACCGAAUAGGGGAGCCGAAGGGAAACCGAGUCUUAACUGGGCGUUAAGUUGCAGGGUAUAGACCCGAAACCCGGUGAUCUAGCCAUGGGCAGGUUGAAGGUUGGGUAACACUAACUGGAGGACCGAACCGACUAAUGUUGAAAAAUUAGCGGAUGACUUGUGGCUGGGGGUGAAAGGCCAAUCAAACCGGGAGAUAGCUGGUUCUCCCCGAAAGCUAUUUAGGUAGCGCCUCGUGAAUUCAUCUCCGGGGGUAGAGCACUGUUUCGGCAAGGGGGUCAUCCCGACUUACCAACCCGAUGCAAACUGCGAAUACCGGAGAAUGUUAUCACGGGAGACACACGGCGGGUGCUAACGUCCGUCGUGAAGAGGGAAACAACCCAGACCGCCAGCUAAGGUCCCAAAGUCAUGGUUAAGUGGGAAACGAUGUGGGAAGGCCCAGACAGCCAGGAUGUUGGCUUAGAAGCAGCCAUCAUUUAAAGAAAGCGUAAUAGCUCACUGGUCGAGUCGGCCUGCGCGGAAGAUGUAACGGGGCUAAACCAUGCACCGAAGCUGCGGCAGCGACGCUUAUGCGUUGUUGGGUAGGGGAGCGUUCUGUAAGCCUGCGAAGGUGUGCUGUGAGGCAUGCUGGAGGUAUCAGAAGUGCGAAUGCUGACAUAAGUAACGAUAAAGCGGGUGAAAAGCCCGCUCGCCGGAAGACCAAGGGUUCCUGUCCAACGUUAAUCGGGGCAGGGUGAGUCGACCCCUAAGGCGAGGCCGAAAGGCGUAGUCGAUGGGAAACAGGUUAAUAUUCCUGUACUUGGUGUUACUGCGAAGGGGGGACGGAGAAGGCUAUGUUGGCCGGGCGACGGUUGUCCCGGUUUAAGCGUGUAGGCUGGUUUUCCAGGCAAAUCCGGAAAAUCAAGGCUGAGGCGUGAUGACGAGGCACUACGGUGCUGAAGCAACAAAUGCCAUGCUUCCAGGAAAAGCCUCUAAGCAUCAGGUAACAUCAAAUCGUACCCCAAACCGACACAGGUGGUCAGGUAGAGAAUACCAAGGCGCUUGAGAGAACUCGGGUGAAGGAACUAGGCAAAAUGGUGCCGUAACUUCGGGAGAAGGCACGCUGAUAUGUAGGUGAAGCGACUUGCUCGUGGAGCUGAAAUCAGUCGAAGAUACCAGCUGGCUGCAACUGUUUAUUAAAAACACAGCACUGUGCAAACACGAAAGUGGACGUAUACGGUGUGACGCCUGCCCGGUGCCGGAAGGUUAAUUGAUGGGGUCAGCGCAAGCGAAGCUCUUGAUCGAAGCCCCGGUAAACGGCGGCCGUAACUAUAACGGUCCUAAGGUAGCGAAAUUCCUUGUCGGGUAAGUUCCGACCUGCACGAAUGGCGUAAUGAUGGCCAGGCUGUCUCCACCCGAGACUCAGUGAAAUUGAACUCGCUGUGAAGAUGCAGUGUACCCGCGGCAAGACGGAAAGACCCCGUGAACCUUUACUAUAGCUUGACACUGAACAUUGAGCCUUGAUGUGUAGGAUAGGUGGGAGGCUUUGAAGUGUGGACGCCAGUCUGCAUGGAGCCGACCUUGAAAUACCACCCUUUAAUGUUUGAUGUUCUAACGUUGACCCGUAAUCCGGGUUGCGGACAGUGUCUGGUGGGUAGUUUGACUGGGGCGGUCUCCUCCUAAAGAGUAACGGAGGAGCACGAAGGUUGGCUAAUCCUGGUCGGACAUCAGGAGGUUAGUGCAAUGGCAUAAGCCAGCUUGACUGCGAGCGUGACGGCGCGAGCAGGUGCGAAAGCAGGUCAUAGUGAUCCGGUGGUUCUGAAUGGAAGGGCCAUCGCUCAACGGAUAAAAGGUACUCCGGGGAUAACAGGCUGAUACCGCCCAAGAGUUCAUAUCGACGGCGGUGUUUGGCACCUCGAUGUCGGCUCAUCACAUCCUGGGGCUGAAGUAGGUCCCAAGGGUAUGGCUGUUCGCCAUUUAAAGUGGUACGCGAGCUGGGUUUAGAACGUCGUGAGACAGUUCGGUCCCUAUCUGCCGUGGGCGCUGGAGAACUGAGGGGGGCUGCUCCUAGUACGAGAGGACCGGAGUGGACGCAUCACUGGUGUUCGGGUUGUCAUGCCAAUGGCACUGCCCGGUAGCUAAAUGCGGAAGAGAUAAGUGCUGAAAGCAUCUAAGCACGAAACUUGCCCCGAGAUGAGUUCUCCCUGACUCCUUGAGAGUCCUGAAGGAACGUUGAAGACGACGACGUUGAU